rnacentral:lncRNA from 1 species
CAGGGCACUCGCCCAGAGCCCCAUCCCCAGCCCUAUUUAUUUUGUACUUUAUUUAGAGACAGGGUCUCACUGAGCUGCUUAGCACCUCACUUUUUUCUGGGGCUGGCUUUGAACUCAUGAUCCUCCUGCCUCAGCCUCCCAAGUAGUUCUGAUUACAGGCGUGGCCACAGCACCCAGCUUCCAGAUCUUUCUAAGCAUACCCAGUUGAAAGUCUAUAACCAUGAAACAACCACUCCCCAUCCCCACCUCAGUAGAAAGGGCCCUCUACUUCCUGUCUCCGUGAAUCUCCUGCUCUAGAUGCCCCGUGUACAUGGAAACACACGGCAGUCGUCCUAAGUGACUGGCCUGUUAGAGCACAGCGUCCUCAAGGCCCAUCUGUCCUCUGGGGCGUACGCCACAACUCGCUGUCACCAGAGCCUUUCACCCCGCAGUGCCACAGGGAAACCUGUCCUGCAGACACGACGGGAGAAACUGGGCAGGUGAAAGACACAAAGAUGUCACACAGGUGCUGCUUAUGAAAUCAAAAGUGGGACGGGGCAGUGACCGUCUCAUAUGGUCUAGUAUGUGCUAGGCCAUGGCCCUAUGAGAGAGGGCGGGUGGCCACUCAAAAGAACCCCUGUGGAACCUGUGCUGCCAUGGAGAGUGGGCGCAGGGCCAGGGCAAAAGGCCUGAGUCUGAACCCCAGCUCUGCCACUUACUGGCUGUGUGACCUUGGGAGAAUUACUCAACUGCUCUGAGCUCAGUGCCCUCGUAGAUUCAAAGGGGGGAAAUAAACUUAUGAAAAGAUGCAAAAGAAAACCACAGUGAGAUGCCUUCCCACCUACCAGAAUGGCAGUGAUUAGAAAGAUAACGACAGAUACUGGUGAGGACAUGGAGAAGGGCGGUCCUUCCUGCAUGGCCGGUGAGAAUGUCCCAUGGGGCACAUGCCCAAGAGAAAUGCACACGUGUGUCCACACUAAAGCUUUCAAAGGCAGGUCCAAGACAGCAUUUUCACCACAGCCAAAAGGCGUGAUGCAGGUAGGUGAUGGUCACCAACCAUGAGCUCAGGAGCACGUGAGGUCUACCCAUGCAACAGAAUAGUAUUAGACCAUGAAAAGGAGCGAUAACACAGCGAGCCUUGGAACAUUGUGCUAAGUAAAGGAAAGACCCAAAGACCACACGUGGCAGGAUUCUGGCUAGAGUCCUGGUCUAGGGUAGGUGAAUCCAUCGAGGGAGAAAGGAGAUCUGUUUUAUGCCUGGGCUGCUGGGGCCGAGGGGCUGAGAAGCAGGCAGUGAACCCUAAUGCAUCCUGAGUUUCUCUGUGAGGUUAUG